rnacentral:rRNA from 1 species
GAUGAACGCUGGCGGCGUGCCUAACACAUGCAAGUCGAGCGAUGGGACGAGAAGCUUGGUUUUCUGAUGUUAGGGGCGGGCGGGUGAGUAACAAGUGGAUAACCUACCUAUAUGAGUGGGACAAGUUCGGGUAACCGGAGCUAAUACCGGGUGAUAUUUUGAACCGGAUGGUUCUAGAGUGAAAGACGGUCUUGCGGUCGCUUAUCGAUGGAUCCGCGCGGUAUUAGCUAGUUGGUAAGGUAACGGCUUACCAGGGAAACGAUGCAUAGCCGAGCUGAGAGCGUGAUCGCCCACACGGGAACUGGGACACGGUCCAGACUCCUACGGGAGGCAGCAGUCGGGAAUCUUCCGCAAUGGGCGAAAGCCUGACGGAGCAACGCCGCGUGUGUGACGAAGGUCUUCGGUUCGUAAAACUCUCUUACUGGUGAGAAACAUAUUUGAGAGUAGAUGUGCACAUCUUGACGGUACCUAAACAAGAAGCCACGGCUAACUACGUG